ensembl:lncRNA
AGGGCGCCCAGGUCUGGUCCCUGGUAGGGAGCUAGAUCUCACAUGCUGCAGUGAAGAUAGAAGGUCCUAUGUGCCACAACUAAGACCCAGCACAGCCAAGUAAAUAAAUACAUAUUACAAAACCAAGUACUGAAUUGAAGAGGCCUGAUCCUCACUCGGCACACACUGACAGGUGACUGCCAGGAGCCCUGAGUGGGAAAGUAUAGGAGAGGAGAAUAAGAAGUCACAUUGUUUUAGAAAUGUUUGAAAUGUAUUUAUUUUGGCUGUUGGUGGGUCUUCAUCGCUGCCAGAGGGCUUUCUCUAGUUGCCCUGAGUGGUUGUGGUUCUUGGGCUUCUCAUUUUGGUGGCUUGGGCUCCAGAGCACUGGCUCAGUAAUUGUGGCACAGGGGUUAUUUGCCCCACAGCAGGUAGGAUCUUAGUUCCCAGACCAGGGAUCAAACCCAUGUCCCCUGCUUUGGCAGGUGGAUUCUUAAUCACUAGAUCACCAGGGAAGUCCCAAAAGGAACAUUCUUAAGCUGACAAAAAGCAUCAAACAAAUGGACUGAGGAAUGCCACAACCUAGAGGUUUCCCUUUCACCCACUCCCAAAUCAAUGCCUUGCUAAGAAUAGGAUUCCUUUGCAGGGAGCCUUCUUUGGAAGGCUUCAGUGUCUUCCCGUGUACAGUAAACCCUCUGUACACGGAGGCAAAUUUGCUGACUCCAGGCUGGCCAGGCUUAGACUUCAGCUUUGUGACUCUUAAGACAGUCACUUCAUUGUUCGUUGUCUUGGUUUGCUCCUUUGUCAGUGGGGACAAAAAGAGUGGUACCUCUGUCCAAGGGCUGUCAUGUAGAUUUGGUGAGAUAGUGGACAGAGCCUGGCUGUGGUAGCAGCUGUGGUAUGCAAAGUAGUCAUUUCUCCCUGCAGAAAGAGGGUGGUUCUGAAGCUGAAAGGUUCUUGGGCAGCGGUGGGGACCACUGGCUUGGCCUUAAGCCUGCCCUGUGUGGUGCUGCUGGCUUUGACUCUUCAGAUGAAGUGGAGAUGCUUUCAAGCUGUUUCUUCCAGGACAGACACUCAUGUGACUUUGAACUUUCUUGUUCACAAUCCAUUCUGCUGGGCUGUGGACCCUGCACAGACCCCCAGAUGCAAGGAAUGAAGGAAGCAGAUGCCUCCUGGACUAAGACAGAUGCUUCAUGGAGGAGAGUGGAAAUCAGCAGUCCCUGGGCUCCCUUCCAUGGCCUGUCACAUUGUCUUAUCUCGUUCAAGGGAGAGCCAGCCAUUUUGAAUUGGGCUUUCUAUGCUCAACCCAAAGAAUCUGGCUUAUGCGGUUGGAGAAGAGAGAUGGGGAGUGCCCACAGUCUACUGGUUUUUACUGCUUCCCUCAGGAGGAAGUGGCAUUUACCUAACUCCCCGAUGCUCACUGACUGUGGCUGUUAUCACAGUGAAGAAAACCUUCCAGAAGACUGAACUUUUUCAGGAUGGCACUUUUAGGAUAUUUUCCAUGUGGAUAAGUGUACGAGAGACAUACGACGGCAAAAUCAGAAACUCUGGACUUGCCAGUUAAUUCCCUCUUUAGCUUUUCUUUACACCAGGGGAAGAAAGACCCUAAAAGCAUGGUAAUUCUUUGUGUUUUAGACCCUAAAUUUUUAUUACGCUUUGAAAUUUAACCUACGAUCAUUCUCUCUUUUUGUCCCACAUACAUCUGCAUCAGACACCAACAGUGACCAGAUCUGCCUUUGACCUCCCUAACGGGAACUUAAUUGUCUUUUAUGCCCAAGUGGUCACCAUACACCACCGCCUGUGAUGCCUCCCAGGCAGGAGGAGAGGACAGUCUUUUUUUCACGUGUGUGGAGUAAAUCACACAAGCCAGUGAGUAUACAGAUUGACUUCUAUAUACUGUAGAAUAUAACCAUCGCCAAAAACUGAAUUCUUGAAUAUGAGUGCUAUCCUGGCCAAUAAAAAUAGAGAUCACCAUAGAGGAGUUAAUUAA